ensembl:snRNA U6 U6 spliceosomal RNA
GUGCUUGCUUCAGCAGCACAUAUACUGAACUUGAAACAAGAUAAAGAAGAUCCCUGCACAAGGAUGAAUGCAAGUUCACGAACCAUUCCGUAUUUUG